ACCACGUUGGUUCUAGUGAAUGCAGUAAGGCGGUAUUUGAGUUAUAUUUUAGAAGUGCCUAGACAAAAUGUGCUCCUUGUCGUGUGCAGUAACCAUCGCAAACCCUCCGGACUCGUGUAACGCCGUUAGUUCGCCGUGUGUUUCGUGCGAUCUAUCAGUGUCGACAGUGAGUGUCUUACUACAGCGCCCGUCCGAGCUGCCUUUGUUCUGCCGAGCUGCCUGCCCGCGCUCUCGUGAAAAGUCUGGUACUGGAGCUUCGAAUCGUAGUGUAUGGAAGGCUGUUGAAGGUUGUGCUUUUGUGGAGCUGGAGUUCAUCGGAAGUUCUACAGUGCUUGCGCCAGAAAGACGUCGGUGCCUCGGUACCUUUGAGACGAAGGAGCGUUGGCCAAGUCUUUUUGAAAGGCUAUGCGGAUUCUGGAGGCAUCCCUGCAUCGAGCAGGAACCUGCUGCACUGCUGGAAGCUGGACAGCACGACAAUAAAGCACGUGAUCUGUGCGCUUUCUCAAAGGUAGACAUCGGCGACGGUGUAUAUGUUGAAAAGGGCCUGCUGAAGAGGCUGCGCCUGGAUGCUAACAACUCGGGCUUUCAGUUUGCGGGGGGCCUCCUUAAGGCUCCUUUUACAAAAGAAGAGGUUGAAGGGAGGCGCUACACAUGGAUGCGCAGCGAUUGUUUGUGACAGCGUCACUGCUGGCAGGCCUGGCCUGCCUUUUCGCUUUGUUCUGGGUCUUCCACGUUAUCUACUCGAAAAAGGCCCACAGGAUUUUGACAUUUAUUGAGCACUGCUUUCUGGAUUUUUGCUACACAAAGCCGCAGGUGAAAGCAUUGGAUUUAGUCAAUUUUUACAAGAACUAUUGCUAGGCAAAAAAAUUUUCAGAUGCAUAUCCUCAAGAAAGUUUCUGUCAAAAUUAUUUUGCCUAACAAAAGCACUCGUGGGUUCUGUGGCUGACAGGUUGCCCAAGCCAUGUAGCACAGUGCUUGCUUUAAAGGGACACGAAAAAGAAAAUUUAUUUGAGCUUUAUUAAAUCAUUCUUCUACAACACCGAAAAAACAACUCCCACCAUGAGAAUUGGCUUGAUAAGCCAGAUAACUUGCAAAAACGAAAACUGGUGUCGCCACCACCACCUUAUAGUUCCUGCACCAGCUCGCUGUGAUAUGGAAUUUGACGGUGUCUGUUCGGGUCUAGCUAAUGUUCUACUGGCCAAUAUUGAUGAAUUCUGUUGUAAAGGUGUCAAAGAAUAUACUUAGUUGAAGUAUGACUCCACACGGAUGUGCGGGCACUGCAUAAAACUUGAAAAAUGAAAGUUAAAUCUUCAUUUUCUCUUCUAAUAAUCCUCUUAUUGCCACAAUGUUCAUGAAUACAGUUCUGAAAGAUUGUUUUAUCAGUCUAAAAUGAUUUACUGUUUCACUUUAGUAUUUCUGUAAUGGACCUUCAGCAACAAAAUGUGUGUUAGUAUUCCACAGGUAUUCUCAGCGGGGGCAAAAGCACCAGCAGCAUGCUCAAUGAUUCUGUACCAACUGAUAACUUGAAGGAUAUCCUGUGCCACUAGGGUUAGGCCAACGUGGCUCUGUGUUAAUCACAAGUGUAUUAUGCAAAACUUAAUGGCCCAGAAAUUGGUAAUUCAGGAGGGAGUUGAAUUAGCAAUUUUUUUUUUCUUUAUCAUGGACUUCUCACAUUACACUUUGUCACAACGCAUUCACUUUAAAGUAACUGUGGAGAAUAAGGUGGUUUGGUAUUCAGACAUGCCUUCUGUGUGUAAACAGUGUUAGAUGAGCAAUACAAAGAUACACCAUAGAUGCUGACUGGCAACAUGAAGGGGUUUGAGGGCAGCUACAAAUAUACAUCCUUGUAGUCGUACCUAUAGCACCAUGUUCAAUUUGUCACACAAGCAUAUGGCAUCCAUCACAACUGCAUGCCUAGAAACGGACAAGGGCAACACGCUCAAUUCCC